rnacentral:rRNA from 1 species
GACGAACGCUGGCGGCGCGCUUAACACAUGCAAGUCGAACGGAAAGGCCUGCUUUCCCUUGUGGAUUGCGGGUACUCGAGUGGCGAACGGGUGAGUAACACGUGAGUGAUCUGCCCCCAACUUGGGUAUAAGCCUGGGAAACUGGGUCUAAUUCCCGAUAGGACUGCAGGGUGGUGCCUGUGGUGGAAAACGAUUUUCUAGUGGUUGGGGAUGAGCUCGCGGCCUAUCAGCUUGUUGGUGGGGUAAUGGCCUACCAAGGCGGCGACGGGUAGCCGGCCUGAGAGGGUGGACGGCCACAUUGGGACUGGGAUACGGCCCAGACUCCUACGGGAGGCAGCAGUGGGGAAUAUUGCACAAUGGGCGGAAGCCUGAUGCAGCGACGCCGCGUGGGGGAUGACGGCCUUCGGGUUGUAAACUCCUUUCGACCGCGAGGAAGCCACCUGGUUGGAAGGGUGGUGACGGAAGUGGUAGAAGAAGCACCGGCUAACUACGUG